UGGGCAACCUGCCCCUCUCUCUGGGAUAACCCCGGGAAACCGGAGCUAAUACCGGAUACUCCGGCUGGAUCGCAUGGUCCGGCCGGGAAAGGUCCGCCGGAGAGGGAUGGGCCCGCGGCCUAUCAGCUUGUUGGUGGGGUAGUGGCCUACCAAGGCGACGACGGGUAGCCGGCCUGAGAGGGUGACCGGCCACACUGGGACUGAGACACGGCCCAGACUCCUACGGGAGGCA
rnacentral:rRNA from 1 species